UAAUAAUAAAUAAUCUGGAUCUGAAUGUAAACACCACAGGACCUUUUGGUAUAUCAAAGACCUAUCAAUAUACAAAGAUUGGUAACAUCCAUCAGACCAAUAGAAAUUAUCGGAAAUUCGAGCGGCGGAAUCGAGAUCUAGAUCACGUGACAUCAAUCGAGCAGACGACGCCAUUUAGAAGCCGAGUCGUGUAAACAAUUGCCAUCAUCGUUAUCGUUUUCACACCUGUCUUUAUUGACUUUAAGGAUGCUGUGGAAGAAACGCAGUAAGGGCUUUUGUACACAGAAGUACCUAUGGAAAAUACCUGCUCUAUCGAAGAAAAAAACCCUGCUCUAUCGGGAUUGUCAAAUGAUUCAUGUUCUGGCAACAGUCCAACAUGUAGUAAUGUUUAUGUCCAAACCUGUGAUGAGGGGAAUACUGUGUUCGUUUAGAUGAUGAUUCAGGGUUGCUGAAUACAGGAUUCAUUGAUAAUGGUCCAGACAUAAUGAACCUGGAAGAUGAGACGGACAUUUUGAAUUGUGGAUUUUUGGAAGACUUUGAACAGAAUGCAAAUGGGAGAACGACACUAAAUCAUCAGGAAUGUGACAUUGAGGAGGUGGAGGUUGAUUGUGUUGACUUUUUAAAACUACAGACUGAAGUUCAGGAAAUAUCAGUCAGGAUUUCAUGGUUCGUAAAGACAGAAGCAAAUUGACAUUGAUGCAGAUGUACUCGCACGGUGAUGCUGCCUCCGUAAAACUGUCCAUAGAGGUGCACUCUGACUUCAAAUGCAAUUUGUUCGUGCAUAGAAAACCAUUAACUCGUAGUCAUGUCAUUUGGACAGAUCUGCCAUUGUUAUUUGACAGGGUUUCUGUGAUAAUGGAACUUUGUAGGAGACUUGCUGUGAACUCUUUCUGUAGUCUGCAGCUGCAAGAAGUAAUUAAUAUGAAUAAACUAUAUGUAUUAGACUUGACCGUAUUUAUUUUGUUUUAAUCUGUACAGAUCUUGCAAAGUAUCCACGUUGGUCACCUGUUUAACACAAAAAUGUUACAGAAAUGUUGUUCUUUCAUUAUAUGAAUCUCGUUCUGAGAAAAUUGGACAUAAUGUUUUUGCGUAAAUUGUCAUUCCAGAUUAGCCUGUGCAGUUCAUACAGGCUAACCAGGGACGACACUUUUCGCUUAUAUGACAUUUUUCGUUUAAAUAAAGUCUCUUCUUAGUAAAAAACCAAUUAAGGCGUAAAGGGUCGUCCUUGAUUAGCCUUGGUGGACUGCAAAGGCUAAUCUGGGAUGAAACUACGCACAAGCAUUAUGUCCAGUUUUCUCGAAACGCCACUCGUGAAAUGAAACAUUUCUUCAAUAAAAAGGUAUUUCGUUAAUUUAUUAUUAACUGUUGUGUAAUGUUGUAUGUUGUUAAAUAUGCUAUUAAACUAUCAAAUAAUUUA